rnacentral:rRNA from 1 species
AUUGAACGCUGGCGGCAGGCCUAACACAUGCAAGUCGAACGAGUGGCGGACGGGUGAGUAAUGUCUGGGAAACUGCCUGAUGGAGGGGGAUAACUACUGGAAACGGUAGCUAAUACCGCAUACUAUCAGAUGUGCCCAGAUGGGAUUAGCUAGUUGGUGGGGUAACGGCUCACCAAGGCGACGAUCCCUAGCUGGGCUGAGAGGAUGACCGGCCACACUGGAACUUAGACCCGGUCCAGACCCCUACGGGAGGUAGCAUUGGGGAAUAUUGCACACUGGGCGAAACCCUGAUGCCGCCAUGCCGGGUGUAUGAGGAAGGCCAUCGGGUUGUAAAGUACUUUCAGCGGGGAGGCGUUACCCUCAGAAGAAGCACCGGCUAACUCCGUGCCAGCAGCCGCGGUAAUUC